rnacentral:misc_RNA from 1 species
AUUGUUAUUGAUUUUUGUAGCUGAUAUAAAAUAUACAAGUAAUUAUCAUUAAAUAACUAAUAGUAAGUAUUAUUUAUUUAUUAUUUUUGUGUAAUUUUAACUUCCAAACGACUGCGUCAAAUUGAAUAGUUCAUUUUUUUUUCUUAUUUUAGAACAAGGUAACUAAAUAAAAAAAUUAAGCCAUUCUAGAAAAAAUGGCGGCAUAAAGUUCCCCGGGUCCGCUUAUAUAAUUACAUUUGUCACAUUUGCCAUACCUUCUGUUGCGAUUGUAAGAAGCUUCUUCCAUUAUUUUGUAUUAAGGAGAGAAAUCGUAUUAAUAUAUAGCGUAAGUGAUAUUUUUGUUAAAGUUUUACUUAUAUUCUCUCGGCCUAUUAUGUGACUAGCCUUACGUUUAGUGUGUAGUGUACCGACAUCUUUAUUGACAUAAUCUAUUCGAAGUGACAUUACAUUGUAUAAUUUAUACAUAAUUAUUAUUUUGUAGUAAAAAAAAAAUAUGGAAUAUAUCCGCCAACCCGCAUUGGAGCAGCGUGGUGGAUUA